CGCAUGGCCUUCUGGGAAAUGUAGUUUGGGGGGGUUGCUAUUGCCUACAGUGCUUUUGGCGAGAGCCCUUCCGAAAUGCACAAUUGCAGGAGGAAAAGGGGAGACCAAUGCCCCAGGAUGUCUCCUCCUAACCUUUGUGCACACAUUCUUUGUGACAUCAGACUCUCUCAAGCUCACUGAACACGCCCAACAGCCCCAAACCUCGCUCUGCCCAAGACGCCCCUUUAAGCAAUGAGCCAGCCAGCUGGCUGGCGCCCCUUCCAGGGCUGGCGGCCACGAAGCGAAUCCGUGCCCCUGUAGAUCGAAUAGGGCAUUGUGUCUGAAAUUGCUAAAGGGCAAAAAGGACCCAAGUCUUUUAAUUCUAUUUGAAUCUGGAGCAGCACAUAACAAGUAGUCUUUAGAUUUCUGGAGGAGAAUGAGACCAAGCAGGUCCUGCUAAUCUAGUGAAGGAGGUUGUGCUGGGCCAGUCCCAAUUCCAGCUCACCUGAAGGGAUAGCCGAACAAAACAAUGAUGGAGCUCACGUCCUUGGCUUCAUUGUUGCAGCGAACCAUUGCUCCUGUCUCCCCGCUGUAGGAGCCGCAGGACCCAAAGGCGAAAAUAGCAAAGAGCUGAGAAAGAGUGAAGCCCUUUGAGAGUCAGAAGGACUCACCUGGACAAGAGAUCCUAGAGUAAAAAAAUGGUCUCUGGCACCCCAAAGGCAAAAUAAUCAUCAGGAGGGCACACCCAGCUAAAGGUGCUGGUCAUCUGGAUUGCUGAUAAUGGCUCCACUCCUUCUGGAUGCCAGUCACUUGGAGCCUUAAUAUCAUUCUUAUAUAGCAGCCUCUAGUGUUUGAGCAGUGGAUCAGAACAGCGAAGUGGCAGCAGGUGAAAGAGCUCAGUCAGCAGUAGGUUCUGUGGCUUUUGAGGCAGUAGGAAUAGUGGAAAGUCCCACCAAGUCCCUGAGUUUGCACUUUGGAGCUCCCUAUAGUCCUAAUCAAGAUCUCAGAUAUUCAGAUAAUCCUAAAUGCACUAUUGCUCCUGAAUUCCAGAUUUGAUGAUUCUCAUCCAAACCAUGAUUUAGGAGUUGGUGAUACAGUGCUAAUUCCUGUCUCCAGUGAGUUCAAAGUUCUUUAGAACUCAAUCUUCCUAAGUAUUAAUGUUAAUUUAUUCCCUCACUGAAUUCUGUGCUGAAAGAACAUUAAUUAUUUCUACACCAUUUGAUGUGUGGAUUGUCUAACUUAAAAUGUCUUCUUCAAUAGUGCACGAAUGCCUCCCCCCAACAAAUCUUUAUGUACCACACCUGUCCACAUUAGUAAUUUAUACUCUUGGACACUGGGAAGAGCAGACAGCAUACUAAUAUCUUAAAAUACCAGUGAAGAAAUUAGAUGGUAUUUCCACUAGGCCAAAACAGGGAAAGCAAGGAUGCAGGCAAAUGAGUUUUUCAAGGUCACAGGGUAAACCUAACAGCAUGCCACCUGAUCUAGAGCAUAAGGGAUCCUAGGGACAGUCAGAUCCACAUUUGACUAAUGUUGGA